rnacentral:lncRNA from 1 species
AACGUUUUGUUUGGCUCAACUAGCGCUGUCGCAACCGGAAAACUGUCAGGCCAGUGCUGCUGCGGAUGUGAGAAACCGGUGAUCCGAAGGCGGAGUGGCGCUGGGCGCUGGACUCGCUGGUGUGAAAAUCUGGCUGCUCUAGGACCCGGCAAGCGCGGGCACCAGGCGAACGCCAGCGACUUUGCCAGACAAAUGCAUGUCUUUUUUGGUCGCCAUUCAAAGAUGCAGCCGGCAGUCAGCCCCGGCUCUGAGAAACAAGUGGAGGUGUCAGCCAUAAACCCUCCGUUCAGGGAAAAGAGAGUCGCUGCGACGGAUCGACUGGCCGUUGGGUGGAACUUUCUUUGGUGGCCUAGUGACUAGAAAAUAAAAACGAAAACGAAAUAAAAAACUGCUACUGACAUUACUCCCACGCUCCCUCCUCAAGUCAGUGGCUUCAGGCUUAAGAAAACCUGUAUUUUUCUUGGCUGAUCCGUGAUCCCUAAUUACUGAGGGCCCCGCGACCCACCAAGUGCGAUUCGCAGAGGGAAAGGAGCUGGAAUAAGGAUCCAGAAUGGGACGGAUUUGGCUCCUCCAGGAAGAAAGCAAAACAAAUGCAGGUCGCGAACACUUUACAUUGCAGGAAGCUGCUCUUCCAGUGGCCGCGGCUGGGUCCUUCCACACCACCUCUCUGUCCUAGGCCUUCGUCCCGGUUCAGCCCUCACGGAUUCUAGGCUAGCGGUCAACAACCGCAUCCCUCCGGAACCUGGAAACUCUAGGUCCGAGAUCUCGGUGAAGAAUGAAAGGCACAGCGCCGCUCAACCCAGGCUUCAGGCCUGCCCCGCUGGUCCCGUCCCUUCCCUGUGGGAUGGAACUCUGUGGGAAUCGCUCCUUAUUCUGAUGGUUCACUCAUUCAGAUGUCCUUGAUAUUUGGGGAUAUUUCUAAAACAGCUGGGGAGAAAAAUGGACUGCGAGGCUCCGGUGUUGGACGUGAAAUUGGCAGUGAGACAUCCGCCUCUAAGCCCAGGGAAAAGCUUAAAUUGUGGUUCUCUGUCUCUAGCACCGUGAUCUUUGAAAUGCGUUAUUGAUUUUCUUCUUUCUUCUGGGAAAUGCAAUGCAGGUGAACUUUACUAUCCUUUUCUGGGGGAUCCUAGGCAGAAGCGAUG